rnacentral:rRNA from 1 species
UUUUUUAAUUGAAAGCUGGUAUGAAUGGUCGGAUGAGGAAGAUACUGUCUCACUUUUGUUUGGUUUGAAUUUUAUUUUUGAGUAAAAAAGCUUAAAUUUUAUAGAAAGACGAGAAGACCCUAUAGAGUUUAACAGGUUUGUUUUGUAAUGGAUUGAGGUUUAUAUUUUUAUUAUAAUUAGGCGUGUUUUGUUGGGGUGACAUUAGAAUUGGAUAAACUUCUUUAUAUUUUUACACUGAUUAGUGAAUACUGGAUCCUUGGUUUUGGAUUUAAAGAUUAAAUUACCUUAGGGAUAACAGCGUAAUUCUUUUGGAGAGUUCUAAUCGAUAAAAGGGAUUGCGACCUCGAUGUUGGAUUAAAGUUAAAUUUUGGUGCAGAAGCUGAAAUUUUG